AUGUAUUUCCAAUGUCUCUAGACCACAAUGAAUAUAAGGUAACUUUUACUUGGAAGGUGAAUAAUUCCUGCAAACUUUGCAAUGGGAAUUUUCCUUUUCUCCCAGAUAACAGUGGGAAUGCUUGGCAAUUCCUCAAUACUAUUUUAUUAUGUCAUUUUGAUAUACACUGGAAAGCCUUUAAUACUCAAAGACCUAAUUAUACAGCGCUUGACUUUUGUCAACUUCAUGUCUACCAUCUCAAAAGGCAUUCCACAGAUACUGUCAGAUUUGGAAUUUAAAGAUUUCCUU
rnacentral:lncRNA from 1 species